CGGCCGCCCGGCAGCGGCAAGGCGACCUCCAGCGUGGCCAGAGCGGCGCCGCCGGACGGGCUGACCGUCAAGAGGCGGGGACGGCCGCCCAAGACGCCGACGCUGUCCAGACCGGAGCCCGGGCUGUCUAAGACCCCGGCGAAUGAUGACGGCGGACACUGGUCCAGCGCGUCGGAGCCGGCCGCGCCGC